rnacentral:rRNA from 1 species
GAUGAACGCUGGCGGCGUGCCUAAUACAUGCAAGUCGAGCGAACGGACGAGAAGCUUGCUUCUCUGAUGUUGGCGGCGGACGGGUGAGUAACACGUGGAUAACCUACCUAUAAGACUGGGAUAACUUCGGGAAACCGGAGCUAAUACCGGAUAAUAUUUUGAACCGCAUGGUUCAAAAGUGAAAGACGGUCUUGCUGUCACUUAUAGAUGGAUCCGCGCUGCAUUAGCUAGUUGGUAAGGUAACGGCUUACCAAGGCAACGAUGCAUAGCCGACCUGAGAGGGUGAUCGGCCACACUGGAACUGAGACACGGUCCAGACUCCUACGGGAGGCAGCAGUAGGGAAUCUUCCGCAAUGGGCGAAAGCCUGACGGAGCAACGCCGCGUGAGUGAUGAAGGUCUUCGGAUCGUAAAACUCUGUUAUUAGGGAAGAACAUAUGUGUAAGUAACUGUUCACAUCUUGACGGUACCUAAUCAGAAAGCCACGGCUAACUACGUG